AGAGUUUGAUCCUGGCUCAGGAUGAACGCUAGCUACAGGCUUAACACAUGCAAGUCGAGGGGAAACGAUAGAGAAAGCUUGCUUUUUCUAGGCGUCGACCGGCGCACGGGUGAGUAACGCGUAUCCAACCUGCCCACCACUUGGGGAUAACCUUGCGAAAGUAAGACUAAUACCCAAUGACGUCUCUAGAAGACAUCUGAAAGGGAUUAAAGAUUUAUCGGUGAUGGAUGGGGAUGCGUCUGAUUAGCUUGUUGGCGGGGUAACGGCCCACCAAGGCAACGAUCAGUAGGGGUUCUGAGAGGAAGGUCCCCCACAUUGGAACUGAGACACGGUCCAAACUCCUACGGGAGGCAGCAGUGAGGAAUAUUGGUCAAUGGGCGAGAGCCUGAACCAGCCAAGUAGCGUGCAGGAUGACGGCCCUAUGGGUUGUAAACUGCUUUUAUAAGGGAAUAAAGUGAGCCUCGUGAGGCUUUUUGCAUGUACCUUAUGAAUAAGGACCGGCUAAUUCCGUGCCAGCAGCCGCGGUAAUACGGAAGGUCCGGGCGUUAUCCGGAUUUAUUGGGUUUAAAGGGAGCGUAGGCCGGAGAUUAAGCGUGUUGUGAAAUGUAGAUGCUCAACAUCUGCACUGCAGCGCGAACUGGUUUCCUUGAGUACGCACAAAGUGGGCGGAAUUCGUGGUGUAGCGGUGAAAUGCUUAGAUAUCACGAAGAACUCCGAUUGCGAAGGCAGCUCACUGGAGCGCAACUGACGCUGAAGCUCGAAAGUGCGGGUAUCGAACAGGAUUAGAUACCCUGGUAGUCCGCACGGUAAACGAUGGAUGCCCGCUGUUGGUCUGAAUAGGUCAGCGGCCAAGCGAAAGCAUUAAGCAUCCCACCUGGGGAG
rnacentral:rRNA from 1 species